rnacentral:rRNA from 1 species
AGGGUGUAAACGCUGCAGACUUGGUGUUGGGGGCCCUUUGGGGGCAUUCAGUGCCGGAGAGAAGUUGUUAAGUCUGCUACUUGGGGAGUACGUCCGCAAGGAUGAAACUUAAAGGAAUUGGCGGGGGAGCACCGCAACGGGAGGAGCGUGCGGUUUAAUUGGAUCCAACACCGUAAAACUCACCAGGGAAGACUGUUACAUGAAAGCCGAGAUGAAGACUCUGCUAGAUUUUCAGAGAGGAGGUGCAUGGCGUCAGUGACU